rnacentral:rRNA from 1 species
ACGGAAGGCAGCAGUGGGGAAUAUUGCACAAUGGGGGAAACCCUGAUGCAGCGAUGCCGCGUGGAGGAAGAAGGUUUUCGGAUUGUAAACUCCUGUCUUAAAGGACGAUAAUGACGGUACUUUAGGAGGAAGCUCCGGCUAACUACGUGCCAGCAGCCGCGGUAGUACGUAGGGAGCGAGCGUUGUCCGGAAUUACUGGGUGUAAAGGGAGCGUAGGCGGGAUUGCAAGUCAGAUGUGAAAUACAGGGGCUCAACCUCUGGGCUGCGUUUGAAACUGUAGUUCUUGAGUGAAGUAGAGGUAAGCGGAAUUCCUGGUGUAGCGGUGAAAUGCGUAGAUAUCAGGAGGAACACCGAUGGCGAAGGCGGCUUACUGGGCUUUUACUGACGCUGAGGCUCGAAAGCGUGGGGAGCAAACAGGAUUAGAUACCCUGGUA